GACGAACGCUGGCGGCGUGCCUAAUACAUGCAAGUAGAACGCUGAAGGAGGAGCUUGUUUCUCUGGAUGAGUUGCGAACGGGUGAGUAACGCGUAGGUAACCUGCUUUGUAGCGGGGGAUAACUAAUGGAAAGGAUAGCUACUCUCGUAUAAGAGUAGAUGUUGCAUGACAUUUACUUAAAAGGUGCACUUGCCUCACUACCAGAUGGAGCUGCGUUGUUUUAGUAAGUUGGGGGGGUAACGGCCCACAAAGGCGACGAUCAAUAUCUGAUCGGAGAGGGUGACGACCCACAUUGGAACGAGACCAGGCCCAAGCCCCUACGGGGAGCAGCCGGUGGGGAACUUUGGCAAUAGACGGAAAGCUGACCGAGCAACUCCGCGGGAGGGAAGAAGGGUGUCGGAUCGUAAAGCUCUGUUGUAAGGGAAGGAAAAGUAUGAGGGUGGAAAGUUCACGCUGUGACGGUAUCUUAAGAAAAAGCAACGGCUAACUACGUG
rnacentral:rRNA from 1 species